CUAAGUUUGAUGGCGACCGGCGCACGGGUGAGUAACACGUAUCCAACCUGCCGAUGACUCGGGGAUAGCCUUUCGAAAGAAAGAUUAAUACCCGAUGGCAUAGUUCUUCCGCAUGGUAGAACUAUUAAAGAAUUUCGGUCAUCGAUGGGGAUGCGUUCCAUUAGGUUGUUGGCGGGGUAACGGCCCACCAAGCCUUCGAUGGAUAGGGGUUCUGAGAGGAAGGUCCCCCACAUUGGAACUGAGACACGGUCCAAACUCCUACGGGAGGCAGCAGUGAGGAAUAUUGGUCAAUGGACGAGAGUCUGAACCAGCCAAGUAGCGUGAAGGAUGACUGCCCUAUGGGUUGUAAACUUCUUUUAUACGGGAAUAAAGUGAGGCACGCGUGCCUUUUUGUAUGUACCGUAUGAAUAAGGAUCGGCUAACUCCGUGCCAGCAGCCGCGGUAAUACGGAGGAUCCGAGCGUUAUCCGGAUUUAUUGGGUUUAAAGGGAGCGUAGGCGGACGCUUAAGUCAGUUGUGAAAGUUUGCGGCUCAACCGUAAAAUUGCAGUUGAUACUGGGUGUCUUGAGUACAGUAGAGGCAGGCGGAAUUCGUGGUGUAGCGGUGAAAUGCUUAGAUAUCACGAAGACUCCGAUUGCGAAGGCAGCCUGCUGGACUGU
rnacentral:rRNA from 1 species